GAUGAACGCUGUCGGCGUGCCUAAUACAUGCAAGUCGAGCGAACAGACGAGGAGCUUGCUCCUCUGACGUUAGCGGCGGACGGGUGAGUAACACGUGGAUAACCUACCUAUAAGACUGGGAUAACUUCAGGAAACCGGAGCUAAUACCGGAUAAUAUAUUGAACCGCAUGGUUCAAUAGUGAAAGACGGUUUUGCUGUCACUUAUAGAUGGAUCCGCGCCGCAUUAGCUAGUUGGUAAGGUAACGGCUUACCAAGGCAACGAUGCGUAGCCGACCUGAGAGGGUGAUCGGCCACACUGGAACUGAGGCACGGUCCAGACUCCUACGGGAGGCAGCAGUAGGGAAUCUUCCGCAAUGGGCGAAAGCCUGACGGAGCAACGCCGCGUGAGUGAUGAAGGUCUUCGGAUCGUAAAACUCUGUUAUUAGGGAAGAACAAAUGUGUAAGUAACUAUGCACGUCUUGACGGUACCUAAUCAGAAAGCCACGGCUAACUACGUG
rnacentral:rRNA from 1 species